GCCAGGCGCGGUGGUGAGUGCCUGUAGUCCCAGCUACAGGCUGGCUGAGGUGGGAGGAUCUCUUGAGCCCAGGAGUUCUGGGCUGUAGUGUGCUAUGCCGAUCAGGUGUCUGCAGUAAGUUCGGCAUUAAUAUGGUGACCUCCCGGGAAUAGGGGAUCACCAGGUUGCCUAAGGAGUGGUGAACUGGGCCAGGUCGGAAAUGGAGCAGGUCAAAACUCCUAUGCUGAUCAGUAGUGGGAUCACGCCUGUGAAUAGCCACUGCACUCCAGCCUGGGCAACAUAGGGAGACCAGGUCUCUU
ensembl:misc_RNA Metazoa_SRP Metazoan signal recognition particle RNA